rnacentral:rRNA from 1 species
AGAGUUUGAUCAUGGCUCAGGACGAACGCUUGCGACGUGCCUAAGAAAUGCAAGUCGAGCGGGGGAGCAAUCCCUAGCGGCGAACGGUCGCGUAACACGUAGGCAACCUGCCCGAAAGACCGGGACAACAUCUCGAAAGGGGUGCUAAUACCGGAUGUGGUCGCUAGAAGACCUCUUCUGGCGAGUAAAUCAUUUAUGGCUUUCGGAGGGGCCUGCGGCCUAUCAGCUAGUUGGCGGAGUAACAGCCCACCAAGGCGACGACGGGUAGCUGGUCUGAGAGGAUGGUCAGCCGGACUGGGACUGAGAUACGGCCCAGACUCCUACGGGGGGCAGCAAUUAGGAAUCUUGCGCAAUGGGGGCAACCCUGACGCAGCGACGUCGCGUGGAGGAGGACGGCCUUCGGGUUGUAAACUCCUUUUCUACAGGAAGAAACAAAUGACGGUACUGUAGGAAUAAGCCCCGGCUAACUCCGUGCCAGCAGCCGCGGUAAUACGGGGGGGGCGAGCGUUGUCCGAAGUUACUGGGCGUAAAGGGCGCGUAGGCGGGCCGCUAAGUCUGCUGUGAAAGCCCGGGGCUUAACCCCGGAGGGUCGGUGGAUACUGGCGGUCUUGAAGGUGCUAGGGGGAGGUGGAAUUGCCGGUGUAGCGGUGAAAUGCGUAGAUAUCGGUAGGAACACCCGUGGCGAAGGCGGCCUCCUGGGGUACUCUUGACGCUGAGGCGCGAAAGCUGGGGGAGCAAACGGGAUUAGAUACCCCAGUAGUCC